rnacentral:rRNA from 1 species
AUUGAACGCUGGCAGCAUGCCUUACACAUGCAAGUCGAACGGUAACAGAUCUUCGGAUGCUGACGAGUGGCGGACGGGUGAGUAACGCGUAGGAAUCUACCUGGUAGUGGGGGAUAACGUUCCGAAAGGGACGCUAAUACCGCAUACGUUCCGAGGAAGGAAGCAGGGGACCUUCGGGCCUUGUGCUAUCAGAUGAGCCUGCGUCCGAUUAGCUAGUUGGUGGGGUAAAGGCCUACCAAGGCGACGAUCGGUAACUGGUCUGAGAGGAUGAUCAGUCACACUGGAACGGAGACACGGUCCAGACUCCUACGGGAGGCAGCAGUGGGGAAUAUUGGACAAUGGGCGCAAGCCUGAUCCAGCCAUGCCGCGUGUGUGAAGAAGGCCUUCGGGUUGUAAAGCACUUUAAGCGGGGAGGAAGGCCUGAUGGCUAAUAUCCAUCAGGAUUGACGUUACCCGCAGAAUAAGCACCGGCAAACUUCGUGCCAGCCGCCGCGGUAAGAC